GUCCUCUCUUCGGCAGCACAUAUACAAAAUUGGAACAAUACAGAGAAGACUAGCAUGUCCCUUGUGCAAGGAUGACACCCGAAGUGAAGUUUCCUGGGUCCCC